AUUCCAUGCCUUUGCUAUUGGUUAUACCAUUUACAUUCCCAUCAACAGUACACAAGGGUUCCAUUUUUUCCAUAACCUUGCCUACCCUUGUUAUUUUCUGGGUUUUUUUUUUUUUUUGGCUGGGGGGGUUGGUGGUAGAUAGUAGCCAUCCUAAUGGGUGUGAAGUGGUAUCUCAUUGUGGUUUUGAUUUGCAUUUCCCUAAUGAUUAGUG
rnacentral:lncRNA from 1 species